rnacentral:rRNA from 1 species
AUGCUCGUGCCUCGGCUCACCCCCAUGGCUGCAGACGAGUGCGCCACUGUCCAACGUCUGAUGGACGAAUGCCAGUUUGGGGAGGGGCCGGACUCCCGCUCCGCCAAGCUGUGUGCGAAAGCUGGCGGGGGUUUAUCGUCUCGGGGCGCCUAUGCCCUGGCGAAUUUUGGUGGAGUGGGCGCGGCUACGGCGUCCUUCCUUUGGUCGUCCCGUGCUCCGUCGCGCGUCAAGUUCUUCGGUUGGCUCCUCUCUAUGUCGCGCAUCCAUACUAUGGAUGUCCUCCUCCGCAAACACAUCCUCACGGCGGCGGAGGCUGGAUGCCCCUGUUGCGAGGCCAUGCUGGAGACGGCCGACCACUUGAUCUUUGGCUGCCCGUUCGCGGUGCAGUUUUGGCAAUGGGUUGGCCUAUCGCCGGAUGUAGCGGCGGUGGAAUCCCUCCACCUCUUCAACACUUCCCCGUGGUCGGCGCCGCCUCGCCGGCCUCCUUUGUCCUGCUAUGCUGUUGGAGGCUCUGGAAGAGAAGGAACGCCGUCGUAUUUAGGGAUGACUAGUGGUCCCUGGCUGCUACUCUGA